rnacentral:rRNA from 1 species
CAGCCGCCGCGGUAAUACGAAGGGGGCGAGCGUUGCUCGGAAUGACUGGGCGUAAAGGGCGCGUAGGUGGCGUGCACAGUCAGAUGUGAAAUUCCUGGGCUCAACCUGGGGGCUGCAUUUGAUACGUGCGUGCUAGAGUGUGGAAGAGGGUCGUGGAAUUCCCAGUGUAGAGGUGAAAUUCGUAGAUAUUGGGAAGAACACCGGUGGCGAAGGCGGCGACCUGGUCCAUUACUGACGCUGAGGCGCGAAAGCGUGGGGAGCAAACAGGAUUAGAUACCCCAGUAGUCCCUGUCUCUUAUAC